CGAUGUGAGUUUAUCUCAGGGCUUCCCAGGUUGAUAUUGAAAGUUUUUCUACAGGGGUUAGUCCGACAAAAUACACAAAUAUCUACUCAAGCAGUUUUUAGUUCAAUAACCAAACUAGACUCCAUGUCUAAUCAGAUUAAGGAAGGCUGUUUAACCUAAGCACCAUGCUUAAUUUAAAAGCCAAUGGAAGUAUGGCGAGUACUUCCAAACCAACACUUGCUAGUAAAUCG
rnacentral:lncRNA from 1 species